rnacentral:rRNA from 1 species
GUCCACGCCGUAAACGAUGUCAACUAGCUGUCUGUGAUUUAAUCGUGGGUAGCGUAGCUAACGCGCUAAGUUGACCGCCUGGGGAGUACGGCCGCAAGGUUAAAACUCAAAUGAAUUGACGGGGGCCCGCACAAGCGGUGGAGCAUGUGGUUUAAUUCGAUGCAACGCGAAGAACCUUACCAUCCCUUGACAUCCAGAGAAUUUUCUAGAGAUAGAAUUGUGCCUUCGGGAACUCUGAGACAGGUGCUGCAUGGCU